GCCCGUAGGUCAGCGGUAGAGCAUCUGCCUUCAGUGUUGAAGAUCCUAGGUUCAGUCCCCAGGUAGGACU